CGUAGAUAACCUGCCUGUAUGACCGGGAUAACAGUUGGAAACGACUGCUAAUACCGGAUAGGCAGAGAGGAGGCAUCUCUUCUCUGUUAAAGUUGGGAUACAACGCAAACAGAUGGAUCUGCGGUGCAUUAGCUAGUUGGUGAGGUAACGGCCCACCAAGGCGAUGAUGCAUAGCCGGCCUGAGAGGGCGAACGGCCACAUUGGGACUGAGACACGGCCCAAACUCCUACGGGAGGCAGCAUG
rnacentral:rRNA from 1 species